GCUGGAAGCAUCUGCUUCUCCGCGGUUUGGUUGCUCCCCCUGGUUGGGUGUCUGUACUCUGUAUAUACCAAGUCUUGACGUCAACGAUGACAUCAUCAAUCCCCUGAUUUUUGAUUUUUUCGUCGUUGUUUUGCUUGCAUAUGCUGUCAAGAAGCGCUUCAUCCCCCGUGAGUUUCUUGAACUUCAUUCAUUCCCCUUUCCCGUCUAGUCCUCCGGACAAGCUUUAACUAAUUCUAAGGUUUUGGGUCGUACGCCAAAGCAAAAAGAAAGCAAAAAGCUUCAGCUUUGAGGCGGUAGUCAUUUUGGCAUCCAAUAGAUGAAUCGUUGUUGGCGGGUUUUCUCUUUCUUUGCCCCCUUUUUUUUUUUUUAUAAGAAACGAUGAAUGUAGAUUGAUAAUAUGGAUCCAAGCACUCAUCUUUCUUUAAUUUUGAGUCACUUCUGUCGAUUGUUCAUUGUUAUAUGCUGGGUCCCGAAUUGUGGUUUAGUUGGUAUGAACAGAAACUUGGAGCUUUUAUGUGAAUUUACAGGAGGCAAUAGUUUAUAAUAUAUGUGCAUACAUUGGAUACUGGUAGUUCGUACAUUAGCAAAAGCUGUUUACUAUAGUGUACAAGUUUCAUCAAGAACUGUAGACAAAAGCAGCAAAAGCUGGUAUGUACAUUAGCAAAAGGUGAUCAUUGACAAAAAUAGGUGACUUUAUGACACUAAACUGAUCUCAAAAGCUGAUGCAAAACAUAGGAAUGGUGCAUGAUUUUAGUCGAUUAUUUGGUGCUUUGGCUGGUCAGUGAUUGUUGCUGGUGGAUCUCUUUUCUUAGUUGCUGUAGCUUGUGCGAUGGUUGGAUUGGUUGUGUCUUUGCUUGAAUCUUCAGUUGCAAUUUGUUGAUCAGGUAGGUUUGAUGAUGAGGCUUCAUUGGUUGCUGGUGCAGGGGUCUGUGUAGGAUCUUCAAUUGGUAGACAAGCGAGGAUGUUGUACUUUGCUACAAUUGUGUUUUGUAGAGGAUGAGUGAAUUUCCUGACUUGAAAACGAAAUGUGCUCAUAUGGAGCUUUAUAUUGAUGUCUGCAAUAUCUGGAAUUUGGUUCUGUGGACAUUGGUUUCUGAAUGAGUAUGUCUUUGGUUUGGUAUAUGAAUAGUGUGAAUAAAUUUGUAUUCUAUAAAAAGUAAUGUUGUUAAUGUUCAAAAUUACCUUUAGUGUCAUGUAGAGUAUGUCUUCAGCAGAGAUGUUGAGAAUGUGUUGAGCAUGCUGGUCUUCAAUUUGUGCAGUAAUUGUUCCAGUAGUAUCAGACAGUUGCACUAAGAACUUGAGCCUGCAUUAAGUAUUAUGGUUUUGUUAUGUUAUGAUAAGAAGAAUGUUAUGAAUUUUAGUGUGUAAAUAUGUUUAUGGAUUUACCUUGGCAGUGGUUUUGCAAAUGUCAUGUUGCAAUGACGGCAUAAGAAGUUGAAAUUUGCUUGAGCUCCAGUUUGUUUCUUGCAAUUAGAAGCUGGACAGGUAAGGAUGUAGAGUCGAUGUUGAGGCUGAACUAUCUUUGCUUUGGCUUUGAUCCAGAAUGGCUUUGCCUGUAAGAUUUCAUGUGGUUAAAUAUUAGAUUUUGUUGUGAUAGUAUUUGUUAUCGAAUAUAUUGUAUUUUGUACUGAUAAAUGUAGUAGUUGUACCAGAUAAGGAGUAUUUAGUGCAUAGCUGAUGUCGUGCAUAUGUUCUUCAGGAGGAGGUUGGACUGUUUGAUGAGUUGCAUCAUAAAGUUUUUUUGCUAAAACUUGCUCAAUAUAAGGUCUGCUUGCUUUGGUCCUGUUAUAUUGUAUAGGAUGGUGUCAGAUUUUGGUUAUAAUGUGCCUAACGAAUAAGUAAAUAUUGACUUUAUCAACUUACCAACUUUUGAGUUCUAGUGCUUGAGGGAUUUGUGGAUCAAACAAGAUAGCACUCAUUGUUUGUGUCUCGACAGAUAAAACUGUUAUAUGAUUAUUUGAAAAAUUAGUACUAUAUUCUGUAAAGCAGAUAAUAUACUUGACUUUUGUAAGUUUAUAUGAAUUAGGGACAGAUUGACAUACCAUGUACUGAAGUCACUUUGGCUCUUGUUAUAAUCAAUGUCGGGGAUUGAUUUAAGAUCCUCAGAAGGUAUUGUGCUUCAAUGUCAAUGAAUUUUGGCCACAUUGUAAGUAUCAUUGGCUUUUGUCUGCAUCAGUUAUCAAUAGUUAAUAUGAGUUUUGUGUUGUAUUGCACUUUAUUAAUUUGCAUUGUUUUUAUACUUACUCUUGAUUUAGGAUGAUGAAUUCUUGAAUUGGAUAAUCGCCUCUUUGUCGUGCAAUGAAGCGACGGGGAAGAGCUCCAAUGACAGUGCAUAGCAGAGCUGAGACAAGAGCAUUAGGUAUUAGUAUUGAUAUGUAAGAAUCAUUGUAGUAACAAUGUAAUGAAAAUUAUUAAAGUGAAGUAGUACUUAUCGGAUUUGUAUUUGUAUCCAUGUACUUAUAGAAGUCUCUGAAUGGUGUAAAAUUGUAGCACUGAUCGAUAGGAUACUGGUUUUCUUGAUCUGCUUCUUUGAUGAAUGUACCUCUGGUCAAGGUUAGUUGAAAUGGUGAAGUGCAGUAUCUGAAAUUUU
rnacentral:lncRNA from 1 species